GGCCCAUUGGUCAAGUGGCCUAAGACACCGCCCUUUCACGGCGGUAACAGGGGUUCGAAUCCCCUAUGGGUCACCA
rnacentral:tRNA from 1 species